GAUGCUUUAUAUACAUUUUUAGGUUUUAUCAUUUAAUUUUAUUUGUUUCAUUGUGUACAUAAUAAGCUCUUUGAUUUUGUAAUGCUUCUGUUUUUUUUUUCCGGAUUCCAUUGCAAUCACUCCACUUAAAUAUAAAUUUGUCCAUUGAAUUUACAUGCAAUGAUCAAUGAACACCAUAGUUGCAUGAGUUAGAUCAUGGUUGUUGAUGUUUACUAAUACAUAUUAACUUUCUUGUUGAUUACAUGCCUUGUGCUAUGGUUGGAGAAUCUUUCAUUGGAAAGGAAUUGAUGUGAGAAGCUACAAUGGUUUUUGUGUUGCACACAAGGUCCUGAAUUUUAGUUCUAGGAGUCUUUGGUGGGCUACUUACGGAGCUAUUUCUGGUCUAUUUUUCUAGUCUGCUGCAGUUUCUAGCAACUACCGCUUCCUGCAAUCCCUGUUUUUGUUCAGCUGUUGCUAUUUCUACAGGCUGUUGUUUUUGUCUUAGAUCAACAAAAACUUAUUGUGUAAGCUUUGCUCAACCGGUCUAGCAAGUGAUGUCAUCAUCAAAGUUGGAGAAAUAUCCUUCCAUCUCCACAAGAAGUGAUUUGAUGCCUUCUAUUUUAGUCAUCUCAUCUUUAAAAAAUAUGAAGAAUAUUGAUUGCCAUAUGAGCCUUUUUUGACAUAUCUACAGUUGGAAACCUUGAAGGGACAACUGAAGCAAUCGCUAAAUGAUGAUAGUUCACAACAAAGUCAGACUGUUGACAUUGAAACUUGUGACUAUUCGCUUCCUAAAACCUAUUUUGAUAAAGUAUGCAUUUUACAUUCUCAUUGUUGGUGCUGCAAUUUGGGCAACUUCUUGGGCAGAUAUCAUGUUGGAUAUGGACUAGAGAGACGGUCAACUAAAGGAUCAAGUAUUCAGAAGCAGCUUUAAACCAAUUGUUCAAAUUUGAGUUGUGUUUGCUUUCGUUGUGGAAUCGAGAUCAUUACAAGGAUAUUCAUCAACAUUGAACCUAAAUGUACUUUGAUGUUUACCUGUAAUUGAAAAUGAUCUUUUACAUAUAAAUAUGUGGUUCUUUGGCUUAA